rnacentral:rRNA from 1 species
UACGUAGGGUGCGAGCGUUGUCCGGAAUUAUUGGGCGUAAAGGGCUCGUAGGCGGUUUGUCGCGUCGGGAGUGAAAUCCACUGGCUUAACUGGUGGCUUGCUUUCGAUACGGGCAGACUGGAGGUAUGCAGGGGAGAACGGAAUUCCUGGUGUAGCGGUGAAAUGCGCAGAUAUCAGGAGGAACACCAGUGGCGAAGGCGGCUUCCUGGACCGGUUCUGACACUGAGGAGCGAAAGCGUGGGGAGCGAUCCGG